UACGUAGGGCGCAAGCGUUGUCCGGAAUUAUUGGGCGUAAAGAGCUCGUAGGCGGUCUGUCGCGUCGGCUGUGGAAAACUUGGGGCUCAACCCCAAGCCUGCAGUCGAUACGGGCAGACUAGAGGUGCGGUAGGGGAGACUGGAAUUCCUGGUGUAGCGGUGAAAUGCGCAGAUAUCAGGAGGAACACCGGUGGCGAAGGCGGGUCUCUGGGCCGUAACUGGACGCUGGAGGAGCGAAAGCGUGGGGAGCGAACAGG
rnacentral:rRNA from 1 species